rnacentral:rRNA from 1 species
UAAGCAUAUCAAUAAGCGGAGGAAAAGAAACUAACAAGGAUUCCCCUAGUAACUGCGAGUGAAGCGGGAAAAGCUCAAAUUUGAAAUCUGGUGGUUCUUGAACCGUCCGAGUUGUAAUCUAGAGAAGUGUUACCUGUGCUGGACCGUGUACAAGUCUCCUGGAAUGGAGCAUCACAGAGGGUGAGAAUCCCGUCUUUGACAUGGACUACCUGUACAAUAUGGUGCGCUCUCAAAGAGUCGAGUUGUUUGGGAAUGCAGCUCAAAAUGGGUGGUAAAUGCCAUCUAAAGCUAAAUAUUGGCGAGAGACCGAUAGCGAACAAGUACCGUGAGGGAAAGAUGAAAAGAACUUUGGAAAGAGAGUUAAACAGUACGUGAAAUUGCUGAAAGGGAAACGCUUGAAGUCAGUCACGUUGGCUGGGAAUCAACCUUGCUCUUGCUUGGUGCACUUUCUGGUYGACGGGUCAGCAUCAAUUUUGACCAUUGGAUAAAGUCAUUGGGAAUGUGGCAUCUUAGGAUGUGUUAUAGCCCUUUGUCGCAUAUAGUGGUUGGGAUUGAGGAACUCAGCACGCCUGCAAGGGCCGGGUCCUUUGGACCACGUAUCGUGCUUAGGAUGCUGGCAUAAUGGCUUUAAUCGACCCGUCUUGAAACACGGACCAAGGAGUCUAACAUGCCUGCGAGUGUUUGGGUGGAAAACCCAUGCGCGCAAUGAAAGUGAAAGUUGAGAUCCCUUUCAGGAGGGAGCAUUGACGCCCGGACCAGACCUUUUGUGACGGAUCYGCGGUAGAGCAUGUGUGUUGGGACCCGAAAGAUGGUGAACUAUGCCUGAAUAGGGUGAAGCCAGAGGAAACUCUGGUGGAGGCUCGUAGCGAUUCUGACGUGCAAAUCGAUCGUCAAAUUUGGGUAUAGGGGCGAAAGACUAAUCGAACCAUCUAGUAGCU